rfam:Lupinus angustifolius cultivar Tanjil chromosome LG10, whole genome shotgun sequence.
UUAAUAAAUCUAAAGGUGGAAGCAUGGGAGUUACAACUUUUAUCACCUUCACAAUUCUUUCCAUAAAUUGUUUACCUAUAUAUGAAACAGCCCAUCACACUAUGGGAGUUGGUCAUGCUCGAAGUCGAUACCUUAGCUACAAGGAGGGAUGUCGAAGGCGGCUAGUGACUGGAGUGAAGUCGUAAUAAGUAGCAAUUAUGGAAGGUGCGGCUGGAUCACCUCCUUU